rnacentral:ncRNA from 1 species
CACCGCCCGUCACACCAUGGGAGUCGAUAACGCCCGAAGUCAGUGACCCAACCUUAUAGGAGGGAGCUGCCGAAGGCGGGAUUGAUAACUGGGGUGAAGUCGUAACAAGGUAGCCGUAUCGGAAGGUGCGGCUG